rnacentral:piRNA from 1 species
AGGAUGAAUGCUCUUGCACAUUGGGUCA